GGAUAGAUAUCGACUGCUGGAAUGCAUCGAGAUCUAAAGCUCCGGCGCCUAAGGAUGGGUCUGCGGCCUAUCAGGUAGUAGUGGGUGUAGCGUACCUACUAGCCUACGACGGGUACGGGUUGUGAGAGCAAGAGCCCGGAGAUGGAUUCUGAGACACGAAUCCAGGCCCUACGGGGUGCAGCAGGCGCGAAAACUUUACAAUGCUGGAAACAGCGAUAAGGGGACCUCGAGUGCCAGGUUACAAAUCUGGCUGUCGUGAUGCCUAAAAAGCAUUGCAUAGCAAGGGCCGGGCAAGACCGGUGCCAGCCGCCGCGGUAACACCGGCGGCUCGAGUGGUAACCGUUAUUAUUGGGUCUAAAGGGUCUGUAGCCGGCCGGAUAAGUCUCUUGGGAAAUCCAGCAGCUCAACUGUUGGGCUUUCAGGAGAUACUGUCUGGCUCGAGGCCGGGAGAGGUGAGAGGUACUUCAGGGGUAGGGGUGAAAUCUUGUAAUCCUUGAAGGACCACCAGUGGCGAAGGCGUCUCACCAGAACGGACCUGACGGCAAGGGACGAAAGCUAGGGGCACGAACCGGAUUAGAUACCCGGGUAGUCCUAGCCGUAAACGAUGCGGACUUGGUGUU
rnacentral:rRNA from 1 species